CCAGAAGGAGGAUUGUUCUAGCAUAGUCAACUAUACCGUGAAACUGCGAAUGGCUCAUUAAAUCAGUUAUCGUUUAUUUGAUAGUACCUUACUACUUGGAUAACCGUGGUAAUUCUAGAGCUAAUACAUGCUAAAAAUCCCGACCUCUGGAAGGGAUGUAUUUAUUAGAUAAAAAACCAAUGCCUUCGGGCUCCUUGGUGAUUCAUGAUAACUUAACGAAUCGUAUGGCCUUGCGCCGGCGAUGGUUCAUUCAAAUUUCUGCCCUAUCAACUUUCGAUGGUAGGAUAGUGGCCUACCAUGGUUUCAACGGGUAACGGGGAAUUAGGGUUCGAUUCCGGAGAGGGAGCCUGAGAAACGGCUACCACAUCCAAGGAAGGCAGCAGGCGCGCAAAUUACCCAAUCCCAAUUCGGGGAGGUAGUGACAAUAAAUACUGAUACAGGGCUCUUUUGGGUCUUGUAAUUGGAAUGAGUACAAUUUAAAUCCCUUAACGAGGAACAAUUGGAGGGCAAGUCUGGCCCC
rnacentral:rRNA from 1 species